rnacentral:rRNA from 1 species
AGGACGAACGCUGGCGGCGUGCCUAACACAUGCAAGUCGAGCGGGGACAUACGACGGAGUAGAAGUUUUCGGAUGGAAGCGAAGAUGUAUGUUCUAGCGGCGGACGGGUGAGUAACGCGUGAGCAACCUGUCCUUCACAGGGGGAUAACACAGCGAAAGUUGUACUAAUACCGCAUAAGACCACACUGGGACAUCCUAGAGGGGUCAAAGGAGCAAUCCGGUGAAGGGUGGGCUCGCGUCCGAUUAGAUAGUUGGUGAGGUAACGGCCCACCAAGUCGACGAUCGGUAGCCGACCUGAGAGGGUGAUCGGCCACAUUGGGACUGAGACACGGCCCAAACUCCUACGGGAGGCAGCAGUGGGGAAUAUUGGGCAAUGGGGGAAACCCUGACCCAGCAACGCCGCGUGAGGGAAGAAGGUUUUCGGAUCGUAAACCUCUGUCCUUGGUGAAGAGUGAGAGACGGUAGCCAAGGAGGAAGCCCCGGCUAACUACGUGCCAGCAGCCGC